GGAGAAGACACAACAUGCAGGUCAGAAUCUUAUUCUUUCGCCCAGUCUGGAGUGCAGUGGCGUGACCUUGGCUCACCACAACCCUCGCCUCCUGGAUUCAAGCGAUUCAAGUGCCUCAGCCUCCCGAGUAGCUGGGACUACAGGCAUGCACCACCAUGCCAGGCUAAUUUUUGUAUUUUUGGUAGAGAUGGGGGUUUGCCAUGUUGGCCAGCCAGGCUUGUCUCAAACUCCUGACCCCAGGUGAUCUGCCCGCCUCAGCCUCCCAAAGUGCUGGGAUUAUAGGCGUGAGCCACCAUGCCCAACCUAAAGUGUGUUACUUUAGAGCCUCUAUUCCUUGGUUGACUCCUUGGGUCACAUACAAAACAAUCUAAAUCUUCUUAAAAAAAAUGUAGAUAAACUCAUGUCCCCGAUAAACCUCUUUCCAGGCCAAAUUCCCUACACUCUUUAAAUCCUCCUAAUAUAGGAUGCUUUCAACUCAUUACAUCAUCUUGGUCACCCUUCCAUGGACAGGCUUUAGUUUCUCUUUUAAUGUGUGGUCUUGGGCACGGGCAAGUGUUUUUGUAAAAUUUACAAAUGUAAAAUAUUUUCAUUGCUAGUGAUUGACUGUCUCUUACCACUCCAACUUCCCUCUGUCACACUUCCCCUCAGGUCAAGUGAUGCUGGAGUGGCCAUGAGCAUUUCUGGAAUACAGAUAAGAGGUUGUUGUGUUGGUGGUAUAUUUAGUUUGGAUUUAGGAGAAUAUAUAUUAUGUGGUUCACUGACACUUCUAUAUCUAGUUAACUGAUUGAUAGCUGCCUUAGUGUAGAAAUGGCUUCCAGGAAAACUCCUACCACCCACUGUGCCAAUUUCACCUGGCAUUAUGAUACUAAAUUGCAGGUGUGUUCAGCAGCUAAUGAAAAUGUUGUUUUUAUGGGUUUUGUGAUGUUGAAGAGAUUUUUCAGCUUUUUACAAUAAAUAUAAAAUGUGCUGUGCAUUGCGCUAUACUCCUUAUAAUGGGAACAUUUCAUGGCAUAUAAAUUAUACCUCAAUAAAUCUGUUAAUUGUGCU
rnacentral:lncRNA from 1 species